rnacentral:lncRNA from 1 species
GUCCCGGGGACUCUGCAGCCCGGUGGGCUCUGACCCUGUGGCCCUCGCACCUCCAUCCCACCUCCCCCCCACACAUCCAGGGAUCCAGGGCAGCCUCCAGGUGGCGGCAGCAGCCCACAGACGCAGGGUGGCCGUGCCCAGAGGCGGCUCUCAGCAGCUUAUAGGCAUCCGGCAACAGCCCCGCGGUCUCAUCCUCCCUGCCCAGGGUGCCGCUGGGCUCAUAGGCUGACAUCCGCUCUCGCGAGUACAUUCGCAGGACUCUGGGACACUCUGGGCCACCUGUACCAGGGCAGGAGAGGAGCCAGAAGGGACCGAGGCCAAAGGCACACCCCAAAGGAGGCUCGGCAGGGCUGGCAGGAGAGGGCAGGCACCCUGAGGACCUCAGCAGAGGCCCUGGGGCAGACCCGGAAGCCACACAGCUGGGCUGCUGGGAGCAGCAGGGCAGGGCCUGGCAGUCGCCGGGACCUGGGCACCAUGAAGACUCCAACUGUAGGCCUUCUACUCCAGCCUCAGGAUGGUAGCCAGCCCCAGGAAUGGUCCCAAGGGAUGUGUGUGUGUCUGUGUGUGUGUGUGUGUGUGUCUAUAUAUAUGAGACUGAGCUGCCAGGCCUCCCACCCAAGCCCAUCUGAGGUGGAGUGCUCUGGCUCUUGCUCAGAACCUGUUUUCUCAGAGGAAGCCCUCUGCCCACCUCCCUGGGGUGUACCCAGGAGAGGGAGCAGCAGAUGCCCCAGUGGUGGGGUCCUGGAGCACAGCCCAGCCUACACAAACACACGCCUGGGGCUCCCUGCAUCCCCACUGAAGCCAGGGCUGGAGGGCUCACAGCUGGCCCCACCAGCUGCCCUCCUAACUGCUUCCAGACUUUUCCCUCUCAGAGCUCCAGAGGACCAGGGCUUGGCAUUGGAAGUGCAGGGCUAAGGCGGAGAAAGGCUGGCUGGGAUCCAGCUGUCUCUCACUGGGGCUUUGGGUGAAAUGCCUGUCAGGUGGCGAUAAUGCCUGUCCUCCCUCCCUGGGGCUGGGGAGGUCCCAAGAGGUGACAUACAUAAGGGGCUUAGCACAGCGACUGGCACACGGUGGUCCCUUGAUGAAGGGAAGCCAUUAGUCUAGAAAAGUGGGACUCAGAGAGACCUGGGCUGAUGGCCAUGCUAACUGGGAUGAGAAGAAACCAGGUCAGAGUUCUCUCCCACCACCCAACUACAGGUUGGGGGCAUGCCUGGCUGCACUCCGUUUAGGGCUGGACAGGCAAGACCGGCCAACCUGGGGUGGGGUCCUGCUCUCCCCUUCUGUCCCCCCAGUUCCAGCAGGAGAGCUCGGUAGUGGUGGCCCCACACUGCUCAGCACACUGUAGACCCCAUGAACAGAGGGGCAGCUUCAAGUGUGAGACAGGCAGAGAAGGCCGUGCCCCUCCUGUGGGGACGGGAUCUUCACACUGUGGCCACAGCCAGCAGCUGCAAGAGGUCCGCCCAGCCCGCUCACUCCCACAGUGAGGAGCAGGCCGGAGCCUCGAGGGAGGCUUGUGGAUAAACCUUUUGUUUUGCGGUGCUGGGGAUGGAACCCAAUGCCUGUGCACACCAGGCACGCACUCUGCCACUGAGUCACCUCUCCUGCCCUGCAGACAACUUUUAUGUGGAUAAUUUUUGAGAUUAAAUUCACCAUUUCAUUUGUUUUGAAGUGUGCAGUUCAUGGGCUUUUUCUAGCCAGGCAUUUUGGUGUGAACCUGUAGUCCCAGCUACUUCGGCUAAGAUGCAAGGAUCACUUGAGCCCCAGAGAUGAAGGCCAGCCUGGGCAACAGCAAGACCCUGUCUAAAAAACAAAAAUAGGGCUGAGGAUUUAGCUCAGUGGUUCUGCCGCCUGCCUCGAAAGUGCAAGGACCCGAGUUCGAUCCCUGGUACCAAAAAUAAAAAAAUAAAAUAAAAAACAAAAAUAGGGCUGAGGAUUUAGCUCAGUGGUUCUGCCGCCUGCCUCGAAAGUGCAAGGACCCGAGUUCGAUCCCUGGUACCAAAAAUAAAAAAAUAAAAUAAAAAACAAAAAUAGGGCUGAGGAUUUAGCUCAGUGGUUCUGCCGCCUGCCUCGAAAGUGCAAGGACCCGAGUUCGAUCCCUGGUACCAAAAAUAAAAAAAUAAAAUAAAAAACAAAAAUAG